rnacentral:rRNA from 1 species
CCUACGGGCGGCUGCAGUGAGGAAUAUUGGUCAAUGGACGAGAGUCUGAACCAGCCAAGUAGCGUGAAGGAUGACUGCCCUAUGGGUUGUAAACUUCUUUUAUAUGGGAAUAAAAUGUUCCACGUGUGGGAUUUUGUAUGUACCAUAUGAAUAAGGAUCGGCUAACUCCGUGCCAGCAGCCGCGGUAAUACGGAGGAUCCGGGCGUUAUCCGGAUUUAUUGGGUUUAAAGGGAGCGUAGGUGGAUUGUUAAGUCAGUUGUGAAAGUGUGCGGCUCAACCGUAGAAUUGCAGUUGAAACUGGCAGUCUUGAGUACAGUAGAGGUGUGCGGAAUUCGUGGUGUAGCGGUGAAAUGCUUAGAUAUCACGAAGAACUCCGAUUGCGAAGGCAGUUCACUGGACUGCAACUGACACUGAGGCUCGAAAGUGUGGGUAUCAAACAGGAUUAGAUACCCGAGUAGUC